GAUGAACGCUAGCGGCAGGCCUAACACAUGCAAGUCGAGGGGUAACAUAGUUUGCUUGCAAACUGAUGACGACCGGCGCACGGGUGCGGAACGCGUAUCGAACCUGCCCCCUUCAGGGGAAUAGCCCAUGGAAACGUGGAUUAAUGCCCCAUGGCACCCGACCGCCACCUGGUGGUUGGGUUAAAGAUUUAUCGGAAGGGGAUGGCGAUGCGUGCCAUUAGCUUGUUGGUAAGGUAACGGCUUACCAAGGCAACGAUGGCUAGGGGCCCUGAGAGGGGGAUCCCCCACACUGGUACUGAGACACGGACCAGACUCCUACGGGAGGCAGCAGUGAGGAAUAUUGGACAAUGGUGGGAACACUGAUCCAGCCAUGCCGCGUGCAGGAUGACGGCCCUAUGGGUUGUAAACUGCUUUUAUACGGGAAGAAACGCACCUACGUGUAGGUGUCUGACGGUACCGUAAGAAUAAGGACCGGCUAACUCCG
rnacentral:rRNA from 1 species